rnacentral:rRNA from 1 species
GAUGAACGCUAGCGGCAGGCUUAAUACAUGCAAGUCGAGGGGCAGCAGUUUUGUAGCAAUACAGAAGCUGGCGACCGGCAAACGGGUGCGGAACACGUACGCAACCUUCCUUUAACUGGGAGAUAGCCCACCGAAAGGUGGAUUAAUAUCCCAUAAUAUAACUGAAUGGCAUCAUUUAGAUAUUAAAGCUCCGGCGGCUAAAGAUGGGCGUGCGUCUGAUUAGGUAGUUGGCGGGGUAACGGCCCACCAAGCCUUCGAUCAGUAGCUGAUGUGAGAGCAUGAUCAGCCACACGGGCACUGAGACACGGGCCCGACUCCUACGGGAGGCAGCAGUAAGGAAUAUUGGUCAAUGGACGCAAGUCUGAACCAGCCAUGCCGCGUGGAGGAUGAGGGCCCUCUGGGUUGUAAACUUCUUUUCUUUGGGACGAAACCCCUGUUUCUACGGGGACUGACGGUACCAGAGGAAUAAGCACCGGCUAACUCCGUGCCAGCAGCCGCGGUAA